AUGCAACGUUAUGGAUACCAUGACCGAUCACCAUCGAGAAAGAAGAAUUUUGAUAAAUCACUUCGGGUGAGCGGGGCCUUCAAGCGGCCUCAAUACGCCGGGGUUGUAAAUGACAUACCUUUCCUUAUGGGAAAUGUCGCCUCCUUACUAAAAAGGAAUAGAAUCAAGUUAUUUUUACCAAAGAAGUCCUGCUCUGACGGCCUUAUAUGCAUGAGUAGAACACAAGAAGCGGCCCGGACCGACAUUACGCGUACGCUUACGCGAGACCAGUUCUCCCGACGUGCUUUGCACAUAGGUGGCUUGCGGGUGACAGUUUCUCCAACUUUAGUUGAACCGAGUGUGGCUACGCCCGGUCCUUGCGAAGGUUAA
rnacentral:rRNA from 1 species